ensembl:snRNA U2 U2 spliceosomal RNA
AUCGCUUCUCGGCCUUUUUGGCUAAGAUCAAGUGUAGUAUCUGUUCUUAUCAGUUUAAUAUCUGAUACGUCCCCUACCCGGGGACUACAUAUUAAAUUGAUUUUUGGAUCACGGAGCUGGAGCCGGGGCUUGCUCUGUCCACUCCACGCAUCGGCCUGGUAUUGCAGUGUUUCCAGGAACGGUGUGCUUCCC